UACACUAUGCGUAUUAUUUGAGGGUUGGC
rnacentral:piRNA from 1 species